GCCUUCGUGGUGUAAUUGAAAGCAUACUCGACACGUAUUCAAGAGGACCAGGGUUCAAAUCCUGGUGAAGGCA
rnacentral:tRNA from 1 species